ACUCCCCUUGGGACCCUUCUGCGAGCCCAGGACACAGCUUCAGACAUAAAGUACUAUAAGUGAAUGACCAUAUCAGCUAAUUAAUUGAGCCUUGAAAGACCAGGAUCUUCUGUUAAUCCAGUGGCGCAUCUGCAUCAGAUCCUCCUUUCUCCCUUCCAACGUGAGGAGUCUAUUUAUGGACUCAGAUUCAUAAUUAAAUGUUUCAUCCACAAAAAGAACGGUUCCCAGGAAAACGUCAGCUCUAUUUCUCUGCUCCUAUUAGGCUUUGUCAGACAUUACAUAAGAGAUUUGCUCAUGUUGGCCUGCUGCUCCUGGCUUUUCAGAUAAUCCUUUGUAUUACGUUUCCAGUGCAUGUAGAUAAUUUAAUUUAACAUUUUUUUAAAUGCCUGCAUGCAAGAAAGCUAACCUUAUAUGAAUGUAAUUAGAAUUAUUUAUAUACUGUAAAAAUUUAACUGAAUCAGAAUUACUGGAAAAUGGUUUUUUUUUUUAAGAAUACAUUUUGCAGUAAUUGAAUUCAGUUAAAACCUUAAUUAUUUUUUCAACUCUUGCCUUAUGCUAUUCUUCUCCCACUUGAUCAUGCCAGUUGCUUUAACUGUUUAUAGCAUUCAUUCUGGCUAUGAUGGCUAUCUUCUUUAUCACUUCAUCUCAGUAAGCUGUUACUCCAGAACCCCAAAGUUCUAAUAAAUUAUGUUAAUAAGC
ensembl:lncRNA